AACGAACGCUGGCGGCAGGCUUAACACAUGCAAGUCGAGCGCCCCGCAAGGGGAGCGGCAGACGGGUGAGUAACGCGUGGGAACCUACCUGAUACUACGGAAUAACUGAGGGAAACUUCAGCUAAUACCGUAUACGCCCUACGGGGGAAAGAUUUAUCGGUAUCAGAUGGGCCCGCGUAAGAUUAGCUAGUUGGUGAGGUAAUGGCUCACCAAGGCGACGAUCUUUAGCUGGUCUGAGAGGAUGAUCAGCCACACUGGGACUGAGACACGGCCCAGACUCCUACGGGAGGCAGCAGUGGGGAAUAUUGGACAAUGGGCGCAAGCCUGAUCCAGCCAUGCCGCGUGAGUGAUGAAGGCCUUAGGGUUGUAAAGCUCUUUCAGUGGGGAAGAUAAUGACGGUACCCACAGAAGAAGCCCCGGCUAACUUCGUGCCAGCAGCCGCAGUAAAAC
rnacentral:rRNA from 1 species